rnacentral:rRNA from 1 species
ACUCCUACGGGAGGCAGCAGUGGGGAAUAUUGCACAAUGGGGGAAACCCGUAGCAUGCAGCCAUGCCGCGUGUGUGAAGAAGGCCUUCGGGUUGUAAAGCACUUUCAGCGAGGAGGAAAGGGUGUAAGUUAAUACCUUACAUCUGUGACGUUACUCGCAGAAGAAGCACCGGCUAACUCCGUGCCAGCAGCCGCGGUAAUACGGAGGGUGCGAGCGUUAAUCGGAAUUACUGGGCGUAAAGCGUGCGCAGGCGGUUUGUUAAGCGAGAUGUGAAAGCCCG